GGGCAAGAGCCUGGGCCAGGGGUGUGGAAUUGGAGGUGGUUCCCACUGUGAGGUACCUAAGACUCUCCCCCAGAAAGGGCUAGCCUGGCCUACCUGGCCGAAGUUUACAGCUGCAUGCUGGGCAGAGGCCGUGAAGAUCACCACCGUCAGGUGGAGCCCUGGCUGGUUGUACCUUGAAAAGGGGAUGCACAGCAGGCAGCUGGCGGUACAUGGCGAUACCAAACACCUCAGACACCAGAUGCGUGCGCAGAAGCGUGGUGACCCUGUGUCCUGUGUCUCACCAAGCCAACACCAAUGUCUACCCAUGUAAAGCAUAUGGUUUGUGGCAUGCUGUGUUCUUGCAUUCAUUUUUGCAUAAAUGAGCUGAUA
rnacentral:lncRNA from 1 species